rnacentral:misc_RNA from 1 species
UCCCGGUGGUGACUUACUUACUAUAAAUAGUUUGGAUUGUUAUCAGAUUUACUAUGUGAGAGUAUAGAUAUACCCACAUGAACGAUAUUCCGGUGAUACAAUUGUAUCUCUGUACCUGUAUUGAACUUUUUAAAGUAUUUCCAGAUGUAUUAUUUUAUAUUGUCGGUUGAUUUUUUUUCUUUCAUUUAUUAUUAUAUUUACUUGUUCAUAUUUUAUUUCUAUUAAACAAUUUGAAUGAAUAUUUUUUUUUACUUUAAAAUCAUCGUACAUAGUAAUUCAUCUGUAAAUCUGUUACUAUAAAGUAUUACUUUUGUUAAUUUCGGAAUGUCUUUAAAAAAAAACCCCAUCAGCUUGUUAAAGCUGGAACGCAUUCAUAAAAUAAAUUGGUUGGGCCUAAAUAACCCCCCCCCCACCCCGCAACGCGACCGACCCAAUUAAAUCCCGCCGACUGAAUAUUUUUUUUACCACAUUGACUACAGAUAACCUUUGAAAUCUAAAUUAACCUGAAACCGCUUUACGCAGAACUACUUUUUCGUUUUACAACAAUCAUUUUGUUAGCAUUGAUCAUCAACAUGGGCGAAAUUAAAAAAUACAGCCGAUGUUUAUUACUUUUAGUGUUGAUAUUACAAUAAAACUUUGAAUUUAGUACGUGUUUUGCUACGUAUUAUUUCUUAUAUUGUGUAUGUAUUCUUUGUAUCUGAUGAGCCAUUUGGCUUAAAGAAUAAAUAAACUUAACCUUC